rnacentral:lncRNA from 1 species
CACACCUCCUCCAGCCCCACCCCGAGCCACAAGCUCCAUCUGCCAGAAGCGCCCCUCCCUCGAGAGAACCACUCACUCUCCGCUUUCAACCUGCUGCCACAGCACCCUUCUCUGAAGGGGCCUCAGGACGCAAGCCCAGCCCAGCCCAGCCUAAAGGGACACGGUUUUUCCCGGUCUUGCACAUAGCAGGCACUCCAAAAACGAAUGCCCUUCCGAGUGACCUGCCCGCUGGCCAGUCCUCCCCAGUCCAGAGGUAACUUCUGCUGGGAGGGGGCCGGGGCAUCAUCCCCACAGGUUUAGCUUCUUCCUGCAGUUCUACCACCAGCUUGGGGCUUUUCCAACACAAACACUGCUUUGCAGGGGCAAAGCAGGGGGUGGCUUCCUUUCUCCGCAGAGCAGUUCUCAAAGUUGCCCUUGACCCAGGCCUACAUGCAGCAGCCCCACUGGGGCUGUGUGGAUGGAUGGCUGCUUCUGCAUUUCAGGAAUUUUCAGGUUUGCCCAGGUCAGAGGUCACAGGAGGUGGGGGCCGUACACGCGUCCCUGGUGGCUGCGGGAGCGGCAUCUGCGGGCCCCGAACUCCCACCCCCCGCCGCUCCAAGGGCAAGAGGAGCGCGUGGCGGACCAAAGAGAGCCCGCGAGCGGCCGCGCGCCCACCAAUAGGUGCGGGGCUCGGAGCCGCCCAGCGCGCGCGGUCCCUCCCUCCUCCCUCCGCCCCCGCCCCCGCCGCCGCCGCCUACCCCUCCUGCCGCUCCUGACUCUGCUUCUCC